rnacentral:misc_RNA from 1 species
GGAUGAAGAACGCAGCGAAAUGCGAUAAGUAGUGUGAAUUGCAGAAUUCAGUGAAUCAUCGAAUCUUUGAACGCACAUUGCGCCCUUUGGUAUUCCAAAGGGCAUGCCUGUUCGAGCGUCAUUUGUACCCUCAAGCUUUGCUUGGUGUUGGGCGUCUUGUCUCUAGCUUUGCUGGAGACUCGCCUUAAAGUAAUUGGCAGCCGGCCUACUGGUUUCGGAGCGCAGCACAAGUCGCACUCUCUAUCAGCAAAGGUCUAGCAUCCAUUAAGCCUUUUUUUCAACUUUUGACCUCGGAUCAGGUAGGGAUACCCGCUGAACUUAAGCAUAUCAAUAAGCGGAGGA